GAAAUGCGAUAAGUAAUGUGAAUUGCAGAAUUCAGUGAAUCAUCGAAUCUUUGAACGCACAUUGCGCCCGUUAGCAUUCUAGCGUGCAUGCCUGUCCGAGCGUCAUUUCAACCCUCAGGGUCCCCGUUCCGUCGGGGAACCUGGUGUUGGGUAUCGGCCCGCCCCGUGCGGCGCCGUCUCCCAAAUUCAGUGGCGGUCUCGCUCCAGCCCCCCCUGCGUAGUAGUUACAACCUCGCAUCGGAGCUCCGCGCAGACACGCCGUAAAACCCCCGACUUUCUGAACGUUGACCCCGGAUCAGGUAGUAAUACCCGCUGAACUUAA
rnacentral:misc_RNA from 1 species